UCUAUCAAUCCAUCUCCUCAGGCCUUGCUUCACACGAUCCGGUUUCUCCUGGAUCAGCCAAGCCUCUCGCCAGUUCUCUCCUUGGAUCGCCGGUACUCUCUUCUCUUUUUGGGGUUUGUCUCUCACGAUUUUGGCAGAGGUUCCCCUUAAGAAUUUUGUGUCAAAUUCUGGAUCCAGGGCUCUGUAUUUAUAGAGAGAGGGAGUCGGAACUGCCAUGGGCCCGAAGGGGUGGGAGUUGUAACCGAAAAGAUGUCUCUCUCUCCCUUGCAACCGUUCGGCAAUAACUGCCCCCAACCGGUCCUCAACUGCCUCCAACUGCUCCUGUCCCUGUCGGUUCUCUACCCUGAAGCCAAGGCUAAGCCCUUUAACUGACCGUCCAU
rnacentral:lncRNA from 1 species